UGCGCAGAUAGUGGGUUCCAUAGAUUUAUUCCAAGUAGAGCCGCGCGUCGCUGAGCACUUUGGGUUUAGGAGACCCGCUUGCUUACAAUAAGAAAUCCCAUGACAUUUCACUGCAGAGUGAACAAUAUCGGAAUCGGUUAUUGCGACUAAUGGAGAAACAUCAUCAGUAAUUGGAGAACUAAGCACGGAUUUAAGUGCCUAAUCCCCGGACUCUUUUUCAAGCUAAUUGGUUGCGACUGGAUGUAGGAAAUCCGUACUGGAGCAAGCAGAGAUCCUAAUUCAGGAGUCUCCAACCUUGGUCCCUUUAAGACUUGUGGACUUCAACUCCCAGAGUUCCUCAGCCAGCAAAGCUAGGAGUUGAAGUCCACAAGUCUUAAAGGGACCAAGGUUGGAGAUCCCUGCUAUAGAUCUCCUGUAUAUCUGAUCCAAACUGAAGCAGUUAUAUGCCAGUUUUAGUUUACAAUUUCCAUUGUCUAAAGUUCAUUUUCUAUGCCAAUUCAGUAUGUUAAUGUUAAUGUAUAAAGAUAUCCUUGACUUGGGGCUACUAUUUUUAAAAUAACACCUUAACCCACAAAUAUUGAAGAGAAUAUUGGAAUAUUUUAGUUAUUUUAGCUACCAAAAUAUAUAUGUUUAAAGGAUAUUAAGAGAUUGCAUCUCGUGAGGUUGCCAGCAAGCAAUUAUGCUUAUAUAUACUGUUGUGACCAAUAAAUAAAAUAAAAAUAAAAUAAAAUAAUCUAUAACAGUUUAUGUCCUUAUGCCUACAACAGAUUUCAGUCUUAUAACUAGCCAACUGGCUGAUACAAAGAAAGUUAGGUAGCAGGAUUGGUCCUGGAUUUUACGGUACUUUAUGGGAGAUCUUCAGGACAUUUUAAGAUGGUUGAUGGCUUCUGAAAAGUGAUGGCUUGUGUUGUGUUUUACUUACUACACAUGAAACAUGGUGUCAGAAGCCUCUGAAUCUGUGCUGGCUCUACACACUUGAUGCAUGCUGGUCUAGUGUUUGUGGUCCUGUCCUGGAAGCUGAGCAUUUGAAGCAAGAAAAUCAGUAUACCACUGCCUGAGGCAAUGAGGGUGAGUGGGGAUUGCAGCGGUAACUGGGACAACUUCAGAGAAGAGUUUGAGGAUUACUCCCUAGCCACAGGCUUAAAUGAUAAGCUGGCAGCAGUGCAGGCAGCCACGUUGAGGAGGCUGAUGAGCAGCGAAUGCCUCCGUGUUUACAGGCACAAUUUAACUCUUACAGAGGAGUGAAGAAGUGAUCCUAAAUCCAUCUUAGAUGCCUUAGAAGACUUUUUCAGAUCCUCUAAAAAUGUCAUAUAUGAAAGAUAUAUUUGGCAGCUGUAGGCAAGAAGAAGGUGAAUCAAUAGACAGUUUCGUCACAUGGCUAAGAGGAAAAGCUGUGAGUAUGGUUCUCUGAGAGAUGAACUUAUUCGUGAUAAAAUAAUUCUGAAUAUCACUAGUGAAAGCACAUGCCACCGCCUUUUGAGGGAAAAUAAUUUAAGUUUACAAGCAGCAAUUGAGAUAUGUCAUACCACAGAACCUACUGACAAACGGAUGAAAGCUUUGGAGCAGGUUAAAUUGACAGUGCCAAUGCAGUCUCCAAACAACAGCUAAGCAUGAAGAACCAUAUGCACAAAAUUCAUUUAUACAACUCACCUGGGAGCAAACCAGUAUCAUGCAGGUACUGUUGUAGUGUGUGUGUACAAGAGAGAAAACAGUGUCCUGCAUAUGGGAAAAUUUGCAGAGCAUGUGACUUCCUCACCACGUCAUCCAAAAGCUAAUGGCAAAGAUGAAUCAGAUGUGAAGAUUGUUAAGAGUUUAUGCAAGAAAGCACAAAGUGAUGGUAAAGGCUCAUGGAAGGCCAUUCUAUAUUGAAGAAAUACUCCAGCUGAGGCCAUGGACAGUAGCCUGGUGCAGAGACUGAUGUCAAGGAGACUAAAGACCUCCUUACCAUAAAUUGCUUGAGCCGUCUGUGAUACAGGGUGCCCCAGAAAAAUUACAGCUUAAGAGACAAGCAUUCAAGGCAAGAUAUGACAAAUCAGCCAGAGAUUUGCCAGGGUUGAAUAUUGGGGAAUGAAUCCAUAUGAAACCGCUGCCUGGAGAUCGAACAGGUUGCUGAAAAAUGGGUAUCUGUUCAGAACAGGUGGCACCACACUCUUAUCUAGUGGACAUUGAGGGAACCUCUCUAUUGCACAAUCAUAUGGAUCUGCGGGUGGCUGAGCAGCCUGAUUCUCCAUAUCCAGUGGCCAGGCCAGAUUUACCCACUGACAAUAGGGAAUGCAUAGUGUUGAUGCCACAGACCAAUGUUAAUGACAAUCCUGAGCAAGCCGGUAUACCUGACAGCAGUCAAUUGCAGAACUUCCCAGUAAGUGGUGAGAAGAGUCCAGCAACCUCAGAGAAACUCUUAGUGCAGAGGGCCAGUCUUCACCCGUAGUGGCAGAUGUUCACAACCACCCAACAGACUUAAGCUAUAGGAAGCAUUGGUAUUGGUUCUCAUUCCGAAAUUUCACUGUUGUUUGGUUAACGUGAAAAGGGAAAGGUGUUACAGGUGUUACGUUUCUUAUAUGCAACUCUAUCAUCCAUCUCUAUUGUAUUUGUUUCCUGUAUCAUAUUGCUAUGCUAUGUUCCUGUGAUGCAUCUUCCUGCUCCUAUUGUAUUUCUUACUCUAAUAAUAAGAUGACUUCUGCACAGUGA